rnacentral:rRNA from 1 species
UGAAGCGGGAAAAGCUCAAAUUUGAAAUCUGGCGGUCUACGGCCGUCCGAGUUGUAGUCUAGAGAGGUGUCUUCUGCGUCGGACCAUGCACAAGUCCCUUGGAACAGGGCGUCAUAGAGGGUGAGAAUCCCGUCCGUGGCAUGGACUCCCGGUGCUUUGUGAUGCGCCUUCGAAGAGUCGAGUUGUUUGGGAAUGCAGCUCAAAAUGGGUGGUAAAUUCCAUCUAAGGCUAAAUACAGGCGAGAGACCGAUAGCGAACAAGUACCGUGAGGGAAAGAUGAAAAGCACUUUGGAAAGAGAGUUAAACAGUACGUGAAAUUGUUGAAAGGGAAACGCUUGGAGUCAGUCGCGUUUGCCGGGACUCAGCCUUGCUUCUGCUUGGUGCACUUCCUGGUACACGGGCCAGCAUCGAUUUUGAUCGCCGGAAAAAGGCUUGGGGAAGGUGGCACCUUCGGGUGUGUUAUAGCCCCUUGUUGUAUACGGUGGUUGGGAUUGAGGACCGCAGCACGCCUUUUGGUCGGGGUUCGCCCACGCCACGUGCUUAGGAUGCUGGCGUAAUGGCUUUAAACGACCCGUCUUGAA